UGGUUCUGGCAUCGAUGAAGAACGCAGCGAAAUGCGAUAAGUAAUGCGAAUUGCAGAAUUUCCGUGAGUCAUCGAAUCUUUGAACGCACAUUGCGCCCUUUGGCAUUCCGAAGGGCAUGCCUGUUCGAGCGUCAUUAUCCUCUCUCAAGCCCCCCGGGUUUGGUGUUGGACCGCGUUGGGCACCGUUUCGACGGCCAACUGGUCUCAAAGACAAUGACGGCGUCCGUGGGACCCUCUUCGCACUGAGCUUUCCGGAGCACGCGUCGAGUUCGGUUCCGGGGACCCGGUCACCUCAUUAUUUUUCAGGUUGACCUCGGAUCAGGUAGGAAUACCCGCUGA
rnacentral:misc_RNA from 1 species